GCUCUCGUCGUUCAACGGAUAGGAUAAGCCCCUCCGAAGGGCUAGAUGACGGUUCGAUUCCGUCCGAGAGCA
rnacentral:tRNA from 1 species